UGCCCAGCAAAAACAGCAGCGGGAGGCAGCGGGAGGAUGGCAGGGAAGCUCCCUGAGCAACUGCGUAAUGAAGCCGUGGGCUGCGCCAGAGCCCACCAUCGCCUCCAAAGCACCUUGCUCCUGCCUGUGCCUCCCGCCUAAGCUGGAGAGUGACACGUGGGGGGACAGAGCUUCCAGCGUGAGGGAGAUUCCUGCAGCCAGAGCAUUGGGAAAUCCAGUCCUCAGCGUGAGAAGGUGGACGUCAGGUGUGGGUAAUGGAAAAGAGCCCGAUGCCAGGGAGCUGGCCCAGGGCCUGGGUAGGAGCUCUACACAAAGGCAGGCACAAGAAUAGAAGGCCACACACACCCCACCCACAAUGGAGCAGAGUCCGCGGUGACCGAGAGGGCCCACUGCCGUGCUGCUGCCGAACACAGACAGAAGCCAAGCCGGGAUCGGGGCCAGGGCUGCCGAGACUUGCUUACUACUUGACAAACUUGAACAUGGGCAGUAUGAAGUCCUGAAGACACAGAGAUGAUGAAAACCCAGUGCGGCCCUUGAGGUGCGUAUGACAGGAAACAGAGAGGUAAAGAAUUUCACUAGAUGGGGUGCUCCUGGGACAGAGGGACACAGAGGGUGCUCUAAGGGCCAAAGGCAGGGCGGGCUGAUCUUGGGGUUCAGGAAGGCUUCCUGGCAGCGUCAGGCAGGGGAACAGUGUGAGCAGACACUGCAAGCCACUAAUGUCAGCAGAGGGAAAGGCCAGAGCGGGCCGGUGGCUGCAGGGAAGAAAUGGAGAGACUGGUCGGAAACGCCAGGAACUGAGACAUCACCCAUCAUCGGGGCUGGGGACUAACGAGGCUGUCUUCCAGAGUGCCUGAGGUAUGUGUUUGAACUGGAAUCUUCUGGCAGGAGUGUGUGGGCCAAAUGUUUACCCUCUGAUAAUUAACCUAAUUGUUUAUAUAAUGCUUCCAGUGCCAUUUUAUUAUAGUCAUGGACUGCAUAACGAUGUUUCGGUCAACGAUGGACCAUGCAUACACAGCAGUGGCCCCGUAAGAUUAUAAUGGUGCAUGUAUGGAAACCUGACAUAUGGCACUUGAUGUUGCCUUUGCAGAUCAAAUACGGGAAAUGAUUGACAUUCACUAACAGUGCUGGGACAUUUGGCUUUCUAUAUGAAAAUAUUUGUAUAAAUAAAAAUAUAUAUACCAUC